rnacentral:rRNA from 1 species
CAAUAGCGUAUAUUUAAGUUGUUGCAGUUAAAAAGCUCGUAGUUGGAUUUCGGUUAAGAGCGACCGGUCCGCCGUUUGGUGUGCACUGGUUGGUUUUAACUUCCUGUAGAGGACGUGCUCUGGGUUUAACGACCUGGACUCGGAGUCUACGUGGUUACUUUGAAAAAAUUAGAGUGUUCAAAGCGGGCUUACGCUUGAAUAUUUCAGCAUGGAAUAACACUAUAGGACUCCUGUCCUAUUUCGUUGGUCUCGGGACGGGAGUAAUGAUUAAGAGGAACAGUUGGGGGCAUUCGUAUUUCAUUGUCAGAGGUGAAAUUCUUGGAUUUAUGAAGGACGAACUUCUGCGAAAGCAUUUGCCAAGGAUGUUUNCAUUA